CGGUAAACAAAGGGAAGCGAGCCUGUGAAGGGGAGCAAAUCCCAAAAAUAACGUCCCAGUUCGGAUUGUAGUCUGCAACCCGACUACAUGAAGCUGGAAUCGCUAGUAAUCGCGGAUCAGAAUGCCGCGGUGAAUACGUUCCCGGGUCUUGUACACACCGCCCGUCACACCAUGGGAGUCGGAAAUGCCCGAAGUCUGUGACCUAACCGUAAGGAAGGAGCAGCCGAAGGCAGGUCGGAUGACUGGGGUGAAGUCGUAACAAGGUAGC
rnacentral:rRNA from 1 species